UACGGAGGGUGCAAGCGUUAUCCGGAAUCAUUGGGUUUAAAGGGUCCGCAGGCGGAAUAAUAAGUCAGUGGUGAAAUCUUACAGCUUAACUGUGAAAUUGCCAUUGAUACUGUUGUUCUUGAAUUUGGUCGAAGUGGGCGGAAUAUGACAUGUAGCGGUGAAAUGCAUAGAUAUGUCAUAGAACACCGAUAGCGAAGGCAGCUCACUAGGUCUGAAUUGACGCUCAUGGACGAAAGCGUGGGGAGCAAACAGG
rnacentral:rRNA from 1 species